rnacentral:rRNA from 1 species
UGGGUAAUCUGCCCUCGAUUCUGGGAUAGCCCGGGGAAACCCGGAUUAAUACCGGAUAGCCUCUCGAGCUUACGAGCUCUUGAGAAAAGGUAGCUUCGGCCUCCGAUCGAGGAUGAGCCCGCGGCGGAUUAGCUUGUUGGUGGGGUAAUGGCCUACCAAGGCAACGAUCCGUAGCUGGUCUGAGAGGACGAUCAGCCAUACUGGGACUGAGACACGGCCCAGACUCCUACGGGAGCAG